CGCCAGACUCCUACGGGAGGCAGCAGUGGGGAAUAUUGCACAAUGGGGGAAACCCUGAUGCAGCAACGCCGCGUGAGUGAAGAAGUAUCUCGGUAUGUAAAGCUCUAUCAGCAGGGAAGAAAAUGACGGUACCUGACUAAGAAGCCCCGGCUAACUACGUGCCAGCAGCCGCGGUAAUACGUAGGGGGCAAGCGUUAUCCGGAUUUACUGGGUGUAAAGGGAGCGUAGACGGUGUGGCAAGUCUGAAGUGAAAGCCCGGGGCUCAACCCCGGGACUGCUUUGGAAACUGUCAUGCUGGAGUGCUGGAGAGGUAAGCGGAAUUCCUAGUGUAGCGGUGAAAUGCGUAGAUAUUAGGAGGAACACCAGUGGCGAAGGCGGCUUACUGGACAGUAACUGACGUUGAGGCUCGAAAGCGUGGGGAGCAAACAGGAUUAGAUACCCGAGUA
rnacentral:rRNA from 1 species